rnacentral:rRNA from 1 species
UACGGGGGGAGCAAGCGUUGUUCGGAUUUACUGGGCGUAAAGGGCGUGUAGGCGGCGCAACAAGUCACUUGUGAAAUCUUCAGGCUUAACCUGAAGCGGCCAAGUGAUACUGUCGUGCUAGAGUGCGGAAGGGGCAACUGGAAUUCUUGGUGUAGCGGUGAAAUGCGUAGAUAUCAAGAGGAACACCUGCGGCGAAGGCGGGUUGCUGGGCCGACACUGACGCUGAGGCGCGAAAGCUAGGGGAGCGAACGGG